AAUCUGAAAGCCCAUCUCCAAUAGAAAACAUAGGUAGAUCUUGAGUGUGCAAUUCUAGAGGCUGCAUCUCUUGAUGGAUUACUUGAAGUUGCAUCUCUUGAGGCGGUACUUCCUCUGUGCGCAUCUCUUGAGGCGGUACUUCCUCAGCAUGCAUCUCUUGAGGCGGUACUUCCUCAGCAUGCAUCUCUUGAGGCGGUGCUUCCUCUGUGUGCAUCUCUUGAGGCGGUGCUUCCUCGGCAUGCAUCUCUUGAGGCGGUGCUUCCUCUGUGCGCAUCUCUUGCAGUGGCACUUCCUCUGUGCGCAUCUCUUGAGGCGGUACUUCCUCGGCAUGCAUCUCUUGAGGCGGUGCUUCCUCUGUGCGCAUCUCUUGCAGCAGCACUUCCUCAGCAUGCAUCUCUUGAGGUGGUGCUUCCUCUGUGCACAUCUCUUGAGGCGGCGCUUCCUCGGUAUGCAUCUCUUGAGGCGGCGCUUCGUCUGUGCAUAUCUCUUGAGGCAGCGCUUCCUCGGUAGGCAUAUCUUGAGGUGGCACUUCGUCUGUGCGUAUCUCUUGAGGCGGCGCUUCGUCUGUGCGUAUCUCUUGAGGCUGCGCUUCCUCGGUAUGCAUCUCUUGAGGCGGCGCUUCGUCUGUGCGUAUCUCUUGAGGCAGCGCUUCCUCGGUAUGCAUCUCUUGAGGCUGCGCUUCUUCUGUGCGCAUCUCUUCCGGUGGGGCUUCUUCUGAGUGCAUCUCUUGCGGUGGGGCUUCUUCUGCCUGCAUUGCUUGAGGGAGGGCUUCUUCUGUCUGCAUUGCUUGAGCUGGCACUUCUUCUGCCUGCAUUGCUUGAGGGGGCGCUUCUUCUGUCUGCAUUGCUUGAGCUGGUGCUUCUUCUGCCUGCAUCUCUUGAACAGAUACUUCUUGGGAGGGAACUUCAUUA
rnacentral:lncRNA from 1 species